UACAGAGGGGGCAAGCGUUGUUCGGAAUUACUGGGCGUAAAGGGCGCGUAGCGGCCGCCUAAGUCAGACGUGAAAUCCCUCGGCUCAACCGGGGAACUGCGUCUGAUACUGGGUGGCUUGAAUCCGGGAGAGGGAUGCGGGAAUUCCAGGUGUAGCGGUGAAAUGCGUAGAUAAUCUGGAGGAACACCGGUGGCGAAGGCGG
rnacentral:rRNA from 1 species